rnacentral:sRNA from 1 species
AGCUAGCCCCGAUUGUCGUGUAAAUCCCACAGCUGCCUGGCACAGCCGGCGCGAGGAAUUGCAACAGAAAGCGGGAAACCCA